rnacentral:rRNA from 1 species
AUUGAACGCUGGCGGCAUGCCUUACACAUGCAAGUCGAACGGUAACAGGUUAAGCUGACGAGUGGCGAACGGGUGAGUAAUGUAUCGGAACGUGCCCAGUCGUGGGGGAUAACUGCUCGAAAGAGCAGCUAAUACCGCAUACGACCUGAGGGUGAAAGCGGGGGAUCGCAAGACCUCGCGCGAUUGGAGCGGCCGAUAUCAGAUUAGGUAGUUGGUGAGGUAAAGGCUCACCAAGCCGACGAUCUGUAGCUGGUCUGAGAGGACGAGCAGCCACACUGGGACUGAGACACGGCCCAGACUCCUACGGGAGGCAGCAGUGGGGAAUUUUGGACAAUGGGCGCAAGCCUGAUCCAGCCAUGCCGCGUGCGGGAAGAAGGCCUUCGGGUUGUAAACCGCUUUUGUCAGGGAAGAAAAGGUUCUGGCUAAUACCUGGGACUCAUGACGGUACCUGAAGAAUAAGCACCGGCUAACUACGUG